rnacentral:sRNA from 12 species
AGGGUUGGUCGAAAGACCGAGGCCCACCGUAGGCGGGGAAAGUUCCC